rnacentral:lncRNA from 1 species
GGGCCACCCUGCUCAGCGCUGACCAGUCCUUACCAGGGGUGGGAGGCCAAGGGAACACCUGACCAGGCACCAAGGCCCUUGCCCCUGGGGACAGCUGGGGAGAGGGUGGAGCGACUCCGGCGUCGAGUGUGGAUAAAGCUGUCAUCCAUCUACCCCAGUCCUGCUUCUGAGGGGCCCCCUCUCCUUCCCCACACUGGUCAGGCCAUGAGCAAGGAGGGGCACCCCACAGGGAAGAGGGGGCCUCUUGCCCGGCGGCUGGGCUGACCUCCAACCUCUGACACCUGAUGGGCUGGAGCACCCCACAUGAACAAGGCACCUGUGCAGCAGAGACCUGAAAAAGAAGCAAAAGAAACCCUCGGGGAGAAGCAGUGCCCCUCCCGUGCGGCUCCUGCCCCCGGCAGGCCUUCUUUCUCCAAAUAGACCAAACAUGCCCUCCUGUCCAUCAUCCUCCCGGUCAUGGCCCUGGCUGCACCUCCGGAUAGACCCAGCCCAAGCCCCGUCACACAGCAGUGGCCCGGUCACCCUUGGAAUGGCGAGCCUGACCCUCCACCGUCAACCUCCUCUGACCUUCCGAGGCCCCUCUGACGCGCACACUGGUGAGUCCUUGGCCUGACACUCGGAGGCCGAAGAGGCUAUCAGGGAGCUGACAAGUGCUAUUACUGAGCACACUUUAUGUGUGUCCUCUCUCAAAGCCAAAAGGGCACCUUGUACUGCCAGACAGGCAGGAGCUCAGAGCUGGGAGGAGGGGCCAAGGGUGUGGGGAGGAAUGGUGGGAUUCCGUCCGUGGGUCAGGGUGAGCGGAUGCAGAGGGAGGGGCUGCGCCUCCAUGUGGGAGGUGCCCUGCUUUGGGGCGCAGUCAGCAGAGACCAGACCACAGAGGGCCCAAGGGCCCUGCAUUCCGUUACACUUAGCAGGUCCUGUCCGUGGUCCCAAAGUGGCUGUGUCCUGGAGACCCUCACAGGCCCCGAUGCUGACCUGCUGCCCUCCCUCUGAAGGCCCUCCUUGGGUCCUGGGCUCGGGACAUUGGUGAGGAAGGGACGGGGACCGAUACCAGGAGGCUGGGGCAUGACCAUGGCCAAUACCCUCCUUAUCUGGCUGCCCCCUGGGGAGAGCGUGUGGUUCCCUGGUCCCGUGUGUAGGCUGUGAUCCAGGAUCCAGGCUGGCGGGAGGCGGGCCGCCAUCUGGACGUGCGUUUCUUGGUUUCUGUAAAAUGAAGACGUGAGCCGG